AGUGAACGCUGGCGGUAGGCCUAACACAUGCAAGUCGAACGGCAGCACAGUAAGAGCUUGCUCUUACGGGUGGCGAGUGGCGGACGGGUGAGGAAUACAUCGGAAUCUACUUUUUCGUGGGGGAUAACGUAGGGAAACUUACGCUAAUACCGCAUACGACCUACGGGUGAAAGCAGGGGAUCUUCGGACCUUGCGCGAUUGAAUGAGCCGAUGUCGGAUUAGCUAGUUGGCGGGGUAAAGGCCCACCAAGGCGACGAUCCGUAGCUGGUCUGAGAGGAUGAUCAGCCACACUGGAAGUGAGACAAGGGCCAGACUACUACGGGAGGCAGCAGUGGGGAAUAUUGGACAAUGGGCGCAAGCCUGAUCCAGCCAUACCGCGGGGGUGAAGAAGGCCUUCGGGUUGUAAAGCCCUUUUGUUGGGAAAGAAAAGCAGCAGGUUAAUACCCCGCUGUUCUGACGGUACCCAAAGAAUAAGCACCGGCUAACUUCGUG
rnacentral:rRNA from 1 species